UACGUAGGGGGCUAGCGUUGUCCGGAAUCAUUGGGCGUAAAGCGCGCGUAGGCGGCCAGAUAAGUCCGGUGUGAAAGUCACAGGCUCAACCUGUGAAUGCCGCUGGAAACUGUCUGGCUAGAGUCCGGAAGGGGCGAGUGGAAUUCCUGGUGUAGCGGUGAAAUGCGCAGAUAUCAGGAGGAACACCGAUGGCGAAGGCGGGUCUCUGGGCCGAUACUGACGCUGAGGAGCGAAAGCGUGGGGAGCGAACAGG
rnacentral:rRNA from 1 species